rnacentral:rRNA from 1 species
UACGUAGGGCGCAAGCGUUAUCCGGAAUUAUUGGGCGUAAAGAGCUCGUAGGCGGUUUGUCGCGUCGGCCGUGAAAACUUGGGGCUUAACCCCAAGCCUGCGGUCGAUACGGGCAGACUGGAGUACUGCAGGGGAGACUGGAAUUCCUGGUGUAGCGGUGGAAUGCGCAGAUAUCAGGAGGAACUCCGGUGGCGAAGGCGGCGUGCUGGAUCUCUUCUGACGCUGAGGCGCGAAAGCUAGGGGAGCAAACGGG